GCCUGGUUGGCUUAGUCAGUUAAGCAUCUGACUUCGACUCAGGUUUGUGAGUUGGAGCCCCACAUCAGGCU
rnacentral:tRNA from 1 species